AGAAUCAGUUGAUUGGUCGAAAUGGCUCAUCUUUUGGGUGGAUGAGAGGGUGGUUCCUUUGACUAGUGAUGACAGUAAUUAUAAACUUGCAUAUGAUGGUUUUCUUUCGAAGGUACACAAAAUUUCGAAAUAUUUUCUGUCUGCAAAAUUGAAUGCAUAUCAGUUCAUGUAAUUUUGUCAGUUGAAAUCCAAUUGUUUUAAAGAUAUGUGCAGUAAAUCCAGGCAAAAGUACUAAUUCAAGUUUCGCUACUCCUAUUUUGUGAAGAAGUUGCAACUUUUUAUGAAUAUAUGAAUCAACAUGCACUAGAGGUGUUUUAACUCUGUGUCCCCUUUCAAAUAGCUUAAAAGGUAACACACAUUAGGAGUAAUCCAGUUCGACCAUCCUCACGUCUAGCUAAUGUAGGAAAACAAAAACCUACCUUCCCAAAGAAAAUAUUUUCCUCAAAAACGGAAAGCUAAUCAUAUUUUCAAAGGUUGAAAAAUAACUUUAAUGGAAAAAAUUUGGCAAUCAAACAUGCCAAAGGUUAGAAUUCGAGUAGAAAAAGGCAAUUUUCGACAGAAAAUUCUCCAAUCAAAUACACCCUAAAUAUUAGAAAAAGAACUGUGAAUAUUAAAGUAUUGAGAAUUGAGUUGAAAAUCAGUGUAUGCUAUGUGUGGAACAAAUUUUCCGGUCAUGUUUGGAAUCAGGUGUAUGCAGAAUGUUAAGAGCGUUGGCUUUUCACUAUUUUCUGCAGGUACCAAUUCCUUCCAGUAACAUUUAUGCCAUCAAUGACAAGCUGUCACCAGAGGGCGCGGCAAAUGAUUAUGAAGUACGUCUCAAGCAUUUGGUCGAGAGCAAAAUUAUACCUUUAUCUAAUGCUUCUGGAUUCCCCAAAUUUGAUCUUAUGCUUCUUGGAAUGGGGCCAGAUGGACACGUUGCUUCUUUAUUUCCUAACCGUCCGCAACGUCAUGAGAAGAAGCGGUGGGUUACAUUCAUUACCGACUCUCCCAAACCUCCUCCACCGAGGAUCACUUUCACGUUUCCCGUGAUCAACUCAUCUUCAGAUAUCGCAAUGGUGGUCACCGGAGCUGAACUGGCCGAUACUGUUAAUAUUGCAUUGGGUGAUGGACUUCCUCCUGAUUCAAUUCCCCUGCCUAGCAUGGAAGUUUCACCUGAAGGAGAACUGAAAUGGUUCCUGGACAAGGAUGCUGCUUCUAAACUUAAGUAGAAUAACUCAGUGCUGUCUGUGUCGUGUUUCAUUAUCCUCUAAUAAUC
rnacentral:lncRNA from 1 species